UGGGUCUCACUCCACAGUGAUUGUGUCAGAAUCUGAAUUUCAACAAGAUUCUCAGGUGAUUCAUAUGCACAUUAAAAUUCCAGCAGCAAUGUUUCUCUGUGUUUAAUUGGAACUUCUUUUUCUUUGUUCUGUUUGUAUUGGAAUUCUUUUACUGGGAUAUGACAUUUUAGCACAAACCAGAGCCGAGGAAACAGGGGUAUCCAAACAAAGAAGACGUAGGGUAUGCUUACUGUGUACAGGAGUAGCCCACACAGACUGCACAUAAAGAGAAGGUUCAAGGUCGGCGUACUGGAGGGGGCCUCUUGAUGUGAGGACAUCUGUACAUCUAUAGAACGGAAUAGCCUUAUUUUUCUCAUUAGCCUCUAAUCUGAAAGUUUCUCUAUCUACAAAAAGGAACCGAGAACAGAAUCCUUCUACUGCCCAAUGUAAGGAAGACGCUACUGGAAAACUGUGACCAGAGGGAAGGCCUCACCCGCCCCUGCUGGCGCCUCCAUCACGGGCUUCCAGCCUCCAGACCUGUGAGCAAUACUUUCUGUUUUUUGGUAAGCGACCCAGUCUGCGGUAUUUUCUUCUAAACAGACUAAGACAAUAACAUAAUCUCUUUAAGCA
rnacentral:lncRNA from 1 species